GACGAACGCUGGCGGCGUGCCUAACACAUGCAAGUCGAACGGGGUAGAGAGCUUCGGUUUUCUACUUAGUGGCGAACGGGUGAGUAACGCGUGAGGAACCUGCCUCUCAGUGGGGGACAACAGUUGGAAACGACUGCUAAUACCGCAUAACACUUCCGAAUGGCAUCAUUUGGAAGUCAAAGCUUUAUGUGCUGAGAGAUGGCCUCGCGUCUGAUUAGCUAGUUGGCGGGGUAACGGCCCACCAAGGCGACGAUCAGUAGCCGGUCUGAGAGGAUGAACGGCCACAUUGGGACUGAGAUACGGCCCAGACUCCUACGGGAGGCAGCAGUGGGGAAUAUUGGGCAAUGGGGGAAACCCUGACCCAGCAACGCCGCGUGAAAGGGAAGAAAGGGCCUUCGGGUUGUAAACUUCUUUAGUAGGGACGAAGAACGUGACGGUACCGUACAGAAAAAGACAACGGCUAACUACGUG
rnacentral:rRNA from 1 species